AACGCUAGGGGACGCUUUACUCAACCUUUCGAUUUGAAUGACUUUCUCUUAUUUAAUGGUGUAAACUUCAAAUUGUUACUUUUUAGUAAGGGGGACGAUUUCCUAACAAGUAUAUUGAUUUUUCUUCGAAGCUACUCAAACAUCUGGUGUUUAGAAAUGUUUCAUGAUGAUUUAUGAUAGAAAUGCAUUAAAUGAAACAUUGAAUAUGAAUAAGUGAAUACACAGAGAGAAAACAUCCAUGUCCUUAGAGAAAAGGGAGCCAAACAGCAAUUAUAGUUCAUAUAAAGGGUGCUAGCUCUCAGGCUAAUCACAGAUUUAUGAAACUACAUGCGUUGUCAUAGCAACAGUGACAGCGGUGUCCAGUGUUAUCCUUUCAUCAAGGCCAUUCUCCUCCUCUCCCUCUCAUCCCUGAGCUGCUGUUGUCCUCUGCGUGUCUCAGUCUGAGGUCAGCCAGCGGUGAAUACUGUCCCGGACACAGCGGCUGCAUGUUGCCACAAGGAGGAAUGCUCAGACAGCCCACAUAGAUGACAGCGGGACUCACUUUGUUGGGUGAAUGCACUGCAUCAUGUUUCCAGAGGCAUCCCUUCUGAUCAACCCCUUAAAUAUUCUUGGCAGUGUGCAGCAGCGUUGUUUUGUGAACAUCCACUCUGCUUUUACGCCGACGUACCCAAAAAGUGCUGCAAGCAGACUCUUACUUGCAAAAAUACAUUUAUUUUUGACGCCUUGGUAUGAAACCUUCAUCAGACAAAUUGUUUGUUUGUUUGUUUUUUUUACAAUGAGAAGCCAUCUCAAUAUAUAUUUCUGCCUAUAUGAAAUGUAAAGACAUAAAUAGCAUAUGUCCAUUUCAAAUAGGAAAAUAAUUAUCCCAAAUCAUACAUGGAGCCACAGAGCAACAUGCUAUACACAGUAACAAACAUAAAAGCUCCCCACAUUGUUGGUAAAUUCAAAUAAGGUAGAUGCCCAAAGUCCCCAGGGCUAAACUGCAAUUACAGAAGAGGACGGUGAAAAACAGCAUCAAUACCUUCUGUUUUGGUCCCUGUAAAUGGAUUUAGGCUGAAUAAAGUGGAGGAAAAUUAGAUUGCUGUUAUUUGGUAUAUGCAUGCAGUACACUGAUGUUUAUCUAUUUUGUGAGACGGUAUAUUUGUUAUGAAGCUUCAUAUUUAUUCACUGUUCUUGUCUGUAAUUGCAGUUUGACCUUGGGGACUUUAAGCACCCACUUUACAUGCAUUUACUGAUUAAUGACAAGAUGUUGGUGUACAUUUUUGCUUGUUGCUGCUUUUAGUAUUUUGCUUCUCUAUAGCUCUGUGUUUGAUAUUGGAUAUUUACUUUCAUACGGGAAAUUGUUAGUUAUGUCUUCAUAUUUCACCCCUAUUUAAGAUCUCACUUAGAACAAGCUGCUAGCCUUGAAACCGAAUGAAGAUCUAGAACUAAAAGCAUCACAAAUAAAUGCAUAUAAUAAUGCAAGUUAGACAAUAUGCAUGAGUUUGUUUGCAACUUUUGGUCGACUCUUUGCUCAUAAAGUAGAUGUGCUAGGUAUCUUUUCAGUUUUAACACCAUCAUUCUCUAACAGGAGAUACCGAUUAGGCCAACUUUUGAUCCUAUUUGUAUACAGAACAUUAGUCAUUUCUUACACACAUCAAUCUUACAAGAAUUUGUAAUUGUGUUAUUGGAUCCACAAUAUACAGUAUUGAUUGAUUUAUGUGAUAAAUAAAAACAUUAACCUAUACAAAUGAUUGAGGUGUGUUGGAAUCGAAGGCUCUCAACGUUAGCAGCUGACGUUAAACUCACGGAGAAGCAUUUCUUUGUUUGUUUGUUUACAAAAUAAGAUGCAGCCCUAAGGCCAUGUAACCCACCACUGUCCAGUUCAGACAGACAGGAUGAGACGGUGUCAGGAAGUGAAACUGAUAUCCUCAACACGUGUGCUGUUUGAUCAGAAUGAAUAAACCUGACUGGCGUCUCUCUUUGUCUCACAUUCUAACUGAAGUGUGAUGGCACCUUCCUGGAUGGGUUGCCUCCAGCUGUAUGUCUUAUCUUCUGCUCUUUCAUUACCAGCUCUAUGCCAACCCCUCUGGAGCCGAAAACAUUAACCCUGGUAUCUGAUUUCACAUUCCAGAGCUCAAGAACUUAAAGGAUAAGUUCACCCAAAAUUGAGAAGUUGGUAGAUUAUCUACUUGCCCUCAUGUUGAUGGGAAGUUUGUGGUUCACGAAACAUUUCUGGAGCUUCACAGCAAAAUGGCCUUGCAACACUCUCGAGUAGAUGGGGACUUUUUAAAAAUGGCUCAAUGCGACUUGUCCAGUGUAAUCUAAGUCCUUACAACCUCUUUUAAGGGGCUCAUUAGAACUUCAGUGUCGUACUUUAAGUCAGUUAUUGGUUUAUGUCCAUGGACUCCAUUUCUAAACUAACGUUAACUAAAACCAUCCUUAGGACUGUAGCCCCAAAUCCAUCCAUCUAUCCAUUUUCACCCGCUCAUCUGAGAUUGGGUCGCUGUGGCAGCAGGCUCAGUUGAGUGUUCCAGAUGUCCCUCUCCAGCUCCUCCAGAUGAGAUAUGUUCUGGGUCUACCCAUCCAGUUCUUCUCCGAGUUGAAUGUGCCCAGAAAACCUCAAAAGACACCCAGCAGGCAUCCUGAUCAGAACUGGCUCCUUACGACACAGGAAGCUCUACUGCGAGCUCCCUCCGGAUGUCCAAGGUCCUCAGGUUGAGUCAAGCCAGCCUUGGGAGGGAACUCAUUUAGGCCGCUUGUAUCCGCAAUCUCAUUCUUUCGGUUGCACAGCUUGUGACCACAGGUGAGGGGUGGAACGUAGAUAGACUGGUAAAUCGAACACUUCGCAUUUCACCUCAGUCUGUCCAGAGCCAAUUUAAGUUGUUGUUGUUGUUGUUGUU